rnacentral:rRNA from 1 species
AGCAGCCGCGGUAAUUCCAGCUCCAAUAGCGUAUAUUAAAGUUGUUGCAGUUAAAAAGCUCGUAGUUGAAUUUCGGGAUUGGCGCAUCGGUCGUGCCUUACGGGGUAUGAACUGGUGCAGUCAAUUUCUCACCUUCUGGAGAACCGCGAUGUCCUUAAUUGGGUGCCGCGGGGAACCAGGACCUUUACUUUGAAAAAAUUAGAGUGUUUAAAGCAGGCAUUUUUGCUUGAAUACAUUAGCAUGGAAUAAUAAAAUAGGACGGCAUGGUUCUAUUUUGUUGGUUUCUAGAACCACCGUAAUGAUUAAUAGGGAUAGUUGGGGGCAUUAGUAUUCAAUUGUCAGAGGUGAAAUUCUUGGAUUUAUUGAAGACUAACUACUGCGAAAGCAUUUGCCAAGGAUGUUUUCGUUAAUCAAGAACGAAAGUUAGGGGAUCGAAGACGAUCAGAUACCGUCGUAGUCUUAACCAUAAACUAUGCCGACUAGGAAUCAGACGAUGUUAAUUUUUUAAUGACUCGCUUGG